rnacentral:rRNA from 1 species
UACGUAGGCAGCAAGCGUUGUUCGGAGUUACUGGGCGUAAAGGGUGUGUAGGCGGUUCUUUAAGUUUGGUGUGAAACCUCCCGGCUCAACUGGGAGGGUGCGCCGAAUACUGAGGGACUAGAGUACGGGAGAGGAAAGUGGAAUUCCUGGUGUAGCGGUGAAAUGCGUAGAUAUCAGGAGGAACACCGGUGGUGUAGACGGCUUUCUGGACCGACACUGACGCUGAGACACGAAAGCGUGGGUAGCAAACAGG